CUUGCACGCUGGCGGCAGGCCUAACACAUGCAAGUCGAACGCGUGGCGGACGGGUGAGUACUGUCUGGGCCACUGCCUGAUGGAUGGGGAUAACUACUGGCAACGGUAGCUAAUACCGCAUCCCCUCGGAUCUGCCCAGAUGGGCUUAGCUAGUCGUUGGGGUAAAGGCGCCCCUAGGCGACGAUCCCUAGCUGGUCUGAGAGGAUGACAAGCCACACUGGAACUGAGACAAGGGCCAGACUCCGAAGGGAGGCAGCAGUGGGGAAUAUUGCACAAUGGGGGCAAGCCUGAUGCAGCCAGGCCGCGUGUAUGAAGAAGGCCUUCGGGUGGUAAAGUACGUUCAGCGGGGAGGCGUUACCCGCAGAAGAAGCACCGGCGAACUCCGUGCCAGCAGCCGCGGUAAGAC
rnacentral:rRNA from 1 species